rnacentral:rRNA from 1 species
UGAGGAAUAUUGGACAAUGGGCGGAAGCCUGAUCCAGCCAUGCCGCGUGCAGGACGACGGCGCUACGCGUUGUAAACUACUUUUGUUCGGGAACAACUAGCCCUACGCGUAGGGCUUUGAGGGUACCGUUCGAAUAAGCAUCGGCUAACUCCGUGCCAGCAGCCGCGGUAAUACGGAGGAUGCGAGCGUUAUCCGGAUUUAUUGGGUUUAAAGGGUGCGCAGGCGGCUCCCUAAGUCAGCGGUGAAAUUUUCCGGCUCAACCGGGACAGCGCCGUUGAUACUGGGGGGCUUGAGCGCGAGCGAGGCUGGCGGAAUGCGCGGUGUAGCGGUGAAAUGCAUAGAUAUCGCGCAGAACUCCGAUUGCGAAGGCAGCCGGCCAGCUCGCCGCUGACGCUCAGGCACGACAGCGUGGGGAUCAAACAGGAUUAGAUACCCUGGUAGUCCACGCCGUAAACGAUGAGCGCUCGCUGCUCGGG